GACGUAGGGGGCCAGCGUUGUUCGGAAUUACUGGGUGUAAAGGGUUCGUAGGCGGUGCGGCAAGUUGGGAGUGAAAUCUCGUGGCUUAACCCAGAGGCUGCUUCCAAAACUGCUGUGCUUGAGUGUGGGAGAGGCGCGUGGAAUUGCAGGUGUAGCGGUGAAAUGCGUAGAUAUCUGCAGGAACACCCGUGGCGAAAGCGGCGCGCUGGACCACUACUGACGCUGAGGAACGAAAGCUAGGGGAGCAAACAGG
rnacentral:rRNA from 1 species